rnacentral:lncRNA from 1 species
UCAUAUCAUAAUAUCCUUCCCACCCACACGAAAGCCAAAAUGCUCGCCAGCCUGGCCCUCCCUCUCUCCCUUCGGUCAAAGCUGAUCGGCUCCCUAUCUUUUCUUUCUUCCUCCUACCGCUACCGCUACUGCCAGGAGUGUACAGUAGGUAGGGCCGCACCAGAGCUACAAAAAUUCAAUAAAAUAAAUACAGCUGAGUACUUCUUCGUCUUUUUCUACCCGUUUUGCCACCUCCGAAAAUCCACUCACUCUGUUACUGUUACUAGCAGCAUGUACAAAAACAAAAAUUGGAUAUUCCCAAUUGAAACAGCCAAAAAGCAAGCG